ACACGCUCAGCUCCCUCCUCCUCGCGUUAUCCUCUCAUCUCCUCUGUAUCCUGACCACACAGUAAUCCCCAAAUCACGCCGGCGACAGCUCCGAUUCCAAAGCACAGCGCCGCCCCUUCCUCCGGUGCUCCCAUGGCGCGGCUUCUUCCUCAAGCCGCCCGGCGCUGCUUCGCCGGUGGCGCAGCCGCGGGAGUCCUUCGUGCGGGGGUCCAGGCCUUUCUCGAUGAUGCAGCCGGUGUCGGGGAGGAGUCGCGCGGGGUCACGCCGGGGGUAAAGGACCUGGCCCAGGUGGUUCUCGACGAGCCGUGUGCAUAGGGGAGCAGGAUCCGUCUUCUAGCAGAGGAAAAACGAGAAGGGUGUGGAGAGCGAGGUCGCUGCCGGAGCUCUGCCGGAGCGAGGUUGAUUUGGUGUUGCGUUUUCAGGUCCGGGUAUUGGGUUGCUGGAGGAAGGGAGGAGGCGUUGGCACAGUGCUGCAGCUUGGUCAAUAUUGAUUCACUUCUCAGGGCAGCCACCACAUGCAAUGGUCUAUGCCACUCCUGAGCGUAUGGGAUGCAUCAAUCGGUCAACAGCUCUGUGACCGCAGUGGGAAGCUAUGUACAGGGAUCUAGAUGAAUAGUCAAGUGAUGUCCCUGUUGAUGACAGAGCUGGUCAGCUGCUCACGUGAAGAAUCUCUGCUGCUCACAUGGAGGCACUUUUUUUCUUUCUUUUGCCGAUGGAGGCACCGGGUGAAGCACCCGUGACUUUUCGGGAGCGGUUAUUUCUUCGAAGCACCGGCUGGCACCGGAAGCAAAUGUUUGCUUCUCCCCCCCUUUCUAAGCACCCGUGCAGUCCAAUCUUGAAAAAAAAACCGGGUUUUUUUCUCUGGCACCUGUCUAAGCACCUGCCGUUGUACAGGGCCUUAGAGCUUCUCCAACAGGCGUCCAACGGGCGGC